UGGGGAAUAUUGGACAAUGGAGGAAACUCUGAUCCAGCAAUUCUGUGUGUGUGAAGAAGGUUUUAGGACUGUAAAACACUUUUAGUAGGGAAGAAAAAAAUGACGGUACCUACAGAAGAAGCAACGGCUAAAUACGUGCCAGCAGCCGCGGUAAUACGUAUGUUGCGAGCGUUAUCCGGAAUUAUUGGGCUUAAAGGGCAUCUAGGCGGUAAGACAAGUUGAAGGUGAAAACCUGUGGCUCAACCAUAGGCUUGCCUACAAAACUGUUGGACUAUAGGACUGGAAAGGUGGGUGGAACUACACGAGUAGAGGUGGAAUUCGUAGAUAUGUGUAGGAAAGCCGAUGAUGAAGAUAACUCACUGGACAGAAACUGACGCUGAAGUGCGAAAGCUAGGGGAGCAAACAGG
rnacentral:rRNA from 1 species